AUGAUGGAGAAAGGAUGGGGGGUAUGCUUUUGGAGGUGGGAAAGGGUACAAAGCACUCUUUGCUUCAGUGUGGCUUAGGCACUUAAGAACAAUUAGCGAUUAGCGUAGGGUUUUGUUUUAAAGAAGCGAGUUAACUAGCAGUGUUUAGUUGGUGAUUUUAUGCUACUUAAAAGCUCAAUUCAUAGUUGUUAAAAUGGAAAGCACUGUCCCACGAGGGAGCUACCCCAGCCAGAAGGAGUGAGUUGUGGUCCAUGUGCUGCCAAGAUUCAUUGGGAGGAGCUAAGAUGGCGGAGGAGUAGGACGGGGAGGACACUUUCUCCCCUACAAAUUCAUCAAAAGAACAUUUAAACGCGGAGUAAAUUCCACAAAACAACUUCUGAAAGCCGGCAGAGGACAUCAGGCACCCAGAAAAGCAACCCAAGUCUUCAAAAGGAGGUAGGGAAAAAUAUAAAAGACAAAAAAAGGGACAAAAGAGGGAGGGACGGAGUUCCGUCCCGGGAAGGGAGUCUUAAAAAGAGAGAAGUUUCCAAACACCAGGAGACCUUCUCACUGCCGAAUCUGCACCGAGCCUUGGAAGCACAGAGGGCAACAUAACAGAGAGGAAAAAUAAAUAAUUAAAACCCGCACAUUGCAAGCCCUAUGGUAACUCCCCCAGCGGAGAAGCAGCGCAGACGCCUGCAUACGCCAUUAGCAAGCGGGGGCUGGGCAGGGAGGCGCGGCGCGGGCUGCAUCGCAAGAAUCUGGCCUGAAUACCCCGAGCACUAUCUAAGCGAAAUAAUUUGGGCUAGCAAACCAGACUGUGGGAUAUCUACCACGCGAAAAGCCAGCCCUAACCUAUGACACCGCCAGGCCCACGCACGGAAUAAAGGACUGAACGGAGAUAGCCGGCGGCAGACCAUCCCCCUCCGGUGAUAGGCAGCCAGAGCCGGAAGGGGACAAUUGCAGCCCCAGAGAGACAUUAUCUAUAAAACUGUAAGCAGGCUUCUUUGCUAACUAAAACUUCUUGGGGGUCUGGACGGUCAACAUCUGCCUGAGAAGGUGUGCUGGUACACAACUAGAUAACCAAGCGGCGGGGAGGCGAUAAGUCGCAGCAAUCGCGCACGCAAAACACCUCAUCACCUAAGCUGCUCGGAUCUGGGAAGGGCACAAAACGCAGGCCCAACUGAGAGUCUGCGCCUCUGAGGACUACCCGAGUGCCUGAACCUGAGCGGCUUGGACCUGGGAAGUACAGGCAGCCCAGGGCAGGCCACGGAUGGUUCGCAGCGGAGCAACCUAGAGCCUGAGCAGCGUGGGCAGAGAGGCUACACGCGCUGUGAACUGGGGGCAGACCCAGUGUGACUGAGGUACUGCGAGCACACGCCAGUGUUAUUUGUUUGCAGCAUCCCUCCCUACCUCCCCUCAGUGCGACUGAACAAGUGAGCCUAUAAAAAAAAAAAAAAAAAUUUAAGUCCUCUGUUAUUCCUUUAAUUUCCACUUUUAUAACCGAUUACUUUGCAAAAAAAAAAAGGAGACCCUAUUUUUUUUAAAGCAAACUUCAUAUAUAUUUUUUUAAAUAAUUUUUUGACCUUUUUUUUUUCUUUUUCCUUCUUUUCUUUAACAUUGUAUUUUUUAAAUUCCAAACUCUACUCUAGAUUUUUAAUUUUAGCUUUUUAGUAUUUGUUAUCAAUUUUGUACCUAUAGUUUUUUUUUUGUUUUUGUUUUUAUAUAAUUUCUGUGACCCUUUUUUAUUUUUUCUUUUUCUCUGUUUCUUUCUCUUCUUCUUUUAAAUAACAUUGUAUAUCUGAAAUUCCAAACUCUAUUCUACAUUUUUAAUUUAUGCUUUUUGGUAUUUGUUAUCAAUUUUGUACCUGUAUUUUUUUUUAUAUAUAUAAUUUAUGUGACCUUGUUUGUUCUUGAUUGUUUUUUUUUUUCUCUCUCUUUCUUUUUCUUCUUCUUUUUUUAACAUUGUAUUUUUGAAAUUCCAAACUCUACUCUAGAUUUUUAACUUUUGCUUUUUGGUAUUAGUUCUCAAUUUUGUACCUAUAUUUUCUUUAUAAUUUUUGCGACCUUGUUUGUUUUUGUUUGUUUGUUUUUUCUCUCUUUCUUUUCCUUCUUCUUUUCUUUAACAUUGUAUUUUUGAAAUUCCAAACUCUACUCUAUAUUUUAAAUUUUUGCUUUUAUGUAUUUGUUACCAAUUUUAUACCUUUAAGAACCCAAUCUUCAGUACCCAUUUUUCACUAGGGAGCGAGAUUACUGGCUUAACUGCUCUCUCUCCCUUUGGACUCUCCUUUUUCUCCACUACGUCGCCUGCGUCUCCUCCCUAACCCCUCUCUACUCUACCCAACUCUGUGAAUUUCUGUGUGUUCCAGAUGGUGGAGAACACUUAGGGAACUGAUUAAUGGCUGGAUCUGUCUCCCUCCUUUUCAUUCCCCCCAUUUAUCCUCCUGGCCACCUAUGCCACCUUCUUCCUUCUUCUCUUUUCUGUAUAACUCUGUGAACAACUCUGAGCGGUCCAGUUGUGGAGUGCACAUAAGGAAGAGAUUACUGAAUAGCCCACUCUCUCCUCUGUUGACUCCACCUCAUCUCAUUCGGGUCACCUCUAACUCCCUCCUCACUCUUCUCUUCUCCAUAUAACGCUGUAAACCUCUCUGGGUGAAACAAGUUUCAGGGCAAGACAUACCAAGCAAAUUCUCUAGCAGCAAGGAACACAGCCCUGAGCUCCAAGAUACAGGCAGCCCAAAGUCACCCCAAAACCAUAGACAUCCCAUAACUCAUUACUGGACAUUUCAUUGCACUCCAGAGAGAAGAAAUACAGCUCCACUCACCAGAACACCGACACAAGCUUCCCUAACCAAGAAACCUUGACAAGCCACCUGUACAAACCCACACACAGUGAGGAAACGCCACAAUAAAGAGAACUCCACAAACUGCCAGAAUACAGAAAGGACACCCCAAACUCAGCAAUUUAAACAAGAUGAAGAGACAGAGGAAUACCCAGCAGAUAAAGGAACAGGAUAAAAGCCCACCAAACCAAACUAAAGAGGAAGAGAUAGGGAAUCUACCUGAUAAAGAAUUCCGAAUAAUGAUAGUGAAAUUGAUCCAAAAUCUUGAAAUCAAAAUGGAAUCACAGAUAAAUAGCCUGGAGACUAAGAUCGAGAAGAUGCAAGAAAGGUUUAACAAGGACCUAGAAGAAAUAAAAGAGAGUCAAUAUAAAAUGAAUAAUGCAAUAAAUGAAAAUAAAAACACUCUGGAGGCAACAAAUAGUAGAAUAACAGAGGCAGAAGAUAGGAUUAGUGAAUUAGAAGAUAGAAUGGUAGAAAUAAAUGAAUCAGAGAGGAUAAAAG
ensembl:lncRNA